GGCGCUGCCAGCGGCGUCCCGCUGCCCCAGCUUCCAUGCAGCGGGGGUGGGGCGGGUCGCCGGUGACGCUAUGACGCACGCCGCAGGAGGGGAGGAAAGAAAGGGAUGGAUGGAACGUCCCCCUGGAUAAGCUCACUGUGGUCCAGGUGAUGCAAGAAGGAAGACUGCUAAAGUGCUAGUGGCAGAAGUCCUGAUCUGAGUUUACCUGAUUGUGACAUAAAAAGAUUAUGAAGUCUUACACCCUGGCUGCGUGGGUGGGAAUCAGUGAAAGGUUUCUUUGCCGCUUUCAGUGCAUAUUUGAAGUCAUAACCAGCAAGUGAUAGAGAGCUUGAUUAAUCCAGGAGGCCUCUGUGUGGUUGCAGAAUUUACUUUUUUCUCGCAAUGAAGAAUAUUUAAGUUACUUUGUGAGUAAAAAUCCGAAUGGAGCUUGCUGUGUCCAUGGGGUCAGAAGAGUAGGGAACACACACUCACUCAGUUUCUACCAGUGUUACUUGCUAGGAUUUUGGGGAUGGGUGGAGGUGGGUGGAGGACUUCAGGCCAGUAUCUGUGAACUAGAUGCUUGUCCCACCUGGCUGGCUAAGGCCAGCAGGGGAGAUAGUGACUCAGUUGGGUGGACACUGUCAACUGACAAUCUUGUUGACUAUAGACUGGCAUUAGUUCUCCAUCUUUAGGAAAGAUUAUUGAGGUGGUGGUUGCAGAGCAAGUAUAGAAAUAUUUGAUGUCUUCCUAUUCCCUUUCUCCUGCUCAAUCUGUAUUUAUACUUGGGUAUGGGACAAAAACUGCUGUAUUUGCACUUGUUGAUGAUUGAUUGGCUGCUCCUGGCUGUGGAUGGAGACAAUGAACCUAACUGCAGUUGGUGUAAGUCAGUGUCACCAGCUGAAGGUAUGAACCAACAAUGCCCUAGUUAGAUUUGCCAGUUGCCUUUGAUACAGCUGAUCACACGGUGUUGUUUACAAAGAUGCAGUCCUUAGUGGGAGUGGAUGCCUUGAAGAGAUUUAACUCCUCCUGUGGAAGUAUGCAGAGGAUGAUUAUGGGCAAUUAUUCAUCCAUCUCAGUAGCUCUCUCAUGUGGGGCAUUAUAGCCAUAAUUCCCAACAUUUGCCAUGCCAGGACACUCCCCCAUCCCCUUUCCAUUUAGCAAUAUGGGAAGGACAGGGCGAGUCAUGACCCUCAGGGUGAAAACUCCUCUGCUAGAGAAGGAAUCUACUCUCUCACUCCUCCUUCAGUGUAUGUAUGAAGCCACUAGGUAGGUUAGUAUGGAAAUACUGGUUAUGGUGUUUAUAGCAUGCAGAUGAUCCCCAACUGUAUAGCCUCAUUAUGGUCAGUCCUGCUGGUGAAGUGGAACAGUUGACCUAAUGCUACUGGAGAUUGUGGCUUGGAUGAGGACUAGCUGCCACGAGUGGUUUCAGGCAACCUCGUACUAUUUUCAGUCGCGCUGUCCUCCAGCAUGGACCCAGCAAUUCUUCACACCACAGUGGUGAUAAGUGCAAGUAUGCACAGGCUGUUUGGACUCUAUUACAGCCCUCAGAGCCAGAUGAAUUCUGCAUUGGACCUUACCCCUCACACCACUGACCAGAUGAUAAAGGAGCAGGACAAUGUUCUUCUAGAGCAGUAGCUCCUACGGCAGCAGGAGGACACUCUGUGGUGGUGGCAACAGCAGGAUGAGGAGGAAGGACAGGAUGAUAUGGAGCUGUUGGAACAAGAUUCCUGGAUCACCUACACAGCAUUCAGCACCAUUGCUGGGCCUGGGAAACCAGUGUGGAUUAGUGGGAGAGGAUUAUUCUGCAGAACUGGGAUGACCUGCAGUGGUGAGAGAACUUCAGGAUGGAGGGGGUACCUGUAUUGAGAUUUUUGCAGAACUGACUUUGGAGUUUCAGCAACAACCUACAACAUGUAGGACCCCAUACCAGGGAGAAACAGGUCACCAGAAUGGUAGCGGAGUGUGUAUUGAGCCGUUUGAAAGGCAGAUGGUGCAGUUUUUGGAAUAGUUUGGAAGCGGCAACAAAAACUUUGCAACCAUUAUAAUUGUAUGUUGUGCUUUUCACAAUACUUGUGAGAGGAGGGGGAAAGCUUUACUGAUGGGUGGGAGGCUGAGGUACAGAGACUUUCUUGGAGGUUCAAGCAGCCAGCAAGGCGACCCACAGAGAACACGAACAUCUGUGUGAAUGCAGUCAGGAAUGCCCACCGUUCGUAUUUUGAGUCUGAUGCCCAAACAUGUUAGACCAUGGAUUGGAAGAGGUGUUUGUUGGGAUGCACACAUUGCAAGCACUGGGGUAUUGCGUGUAGAUGAUUGAAGUUUAUCUUUCCCUAUGUGCUUUUGUAAAACAUUUCAGCUUUAUUUAAAGGAUUGUCUGUGUUAAAUGCAAUGACAACUCAAGGGAUGUACUGUGAACAGUUUUAUUAUGAAACAACAAUAAAAAACAAUGAUAACAUUUUAAU